rnacentral:rRNA from 1 species
UACGUAGGGUGCGAGCGUUGUCCGGAAUUACUGGGCGUAAAGAGCUCGUAGGUGGUUUGUCGCGUUGGUCGUGAAAACCGGGGGCUUAACCCUCGGCGUGCGGGCGAUACGGGCAGACUUGAGUACUGCAGGGGAGACUGGAAUUCCUGGUGUAGCGGUGGAAUGCGCAGAUAUCAGGAGGAACACCGGUGGCGAAGGCGGGUCUCUGGGCCGAUACUGACGCUGAGGAGCGAAAGCGUGGGGAGCGAACAGG